UGGGGAAUAUUCCGCAAUGGACGAAAGUCUGACGGAGCAACGCCGCGUGAGUGAUGAAGGUUUUCGGACUGUAAAGCUCUGUUGUUUAGGACGAAAGUGCCUGUUGCGAACAGUUACAGGUAUUGACGGUACUAAACGAGGAAGCCACGGCUAACUACGUGCCAGCAGCCGCGGUAAUACGUAGGUGGCAAGCGUUGUCCGGAAUUAUUGGGCGUAAAGAGCAUGUAGGCGGAGAUUUAAGUCUGUUGUGAAAAUGCGGGGCUCAACCCCGUAUUGCGAUGGAAACUGAAUUUCUUGAGUGCAGGAGAGGACAGGGGAAUUCCGAGUGUAGCGGUGAAAUGCGUAGAUAUUGGGAGGAACACCAGUGGCGAAGGCGCCUUUCUGGACUGUGUCUGACGCUGAGAUGCGAAAGCCAGGGUAGCGAACG
rnacentral:rRNA from 1 species